UACGUAGGGACCAAGCGUUGUCCGGAUUCAUUGGGCGUAAAGCGCGUGUAGGCGGCCCGAUAAGUCCGUUGUGAAAGUUCAGGGCUCAACCCUGGGAUGCCGGUGGAUACUGUCGGGCUCGAGUCCGGAAGAGGCGAGUGGAAUUCCUGGUGUAGCGGUGAAAUGCGCAGAUAUCAGGAGGAACACCAAUGGCGAAGGCAGCUCGCUGGGACGUGACUGACGCUGAGACGCGAAGGCGUGGGGAGCAAACAGG
rnacentral:rRNA from 1 species